GUAGGGAAUAUUGGGCAAUGGAUGCAAGUCUGACCCAGCCAUCCCGCGUGCCGGAAGAAGGCCCUCAGGGUUGUAAACGGCUUUUGACGGUGAAGAAUCGACAGGAUGCGUCCUGUUUUGACGGUAGCCGUUGAAUAAGCACCGGCUAACUCCGUGCCAGCAGCCGCGGUAAUACGGAGGGUGCGAGCGUUGUCCGGAUUUAUUGGGUUUAAAGGGUGCGUAGGCUGGAAGGUCAGUCAGCGGUGAAAAGCUGUCGCUUAACGAUAGUCUUGCCGCAGAUACUUCCUUUCGUGGAUGAGGAGGAGGCCACUGGAACGGAUGGUGUAGCGGUGAAAUGCAUAGAUAUCAUCCAGAACACCGAUUGCGAAGGCAGGUGGCUGUACCUUAAUCGACGCUGAUGCACGAAAGCAUGGGGAGCAAACAGGAUUAGAAACCCCUGUAGUCC
rnacentral:rRNA from 1 species